rnacentral:rRNA from 1 species
GGGUUGUGAGGUUAAGCGACUAAGCGUACACGGUGGAUGCCCUGGCAGUCAGAGGCGAUGAAGGACGUGCUAAUCUGCGAUAAGCGUCGGUAAGGUGAUAUGAACCGUUAUAACCGGCGAUUUCCGAAUGGGGAAACCCAGUGUGAUUCGUCACACUAUCAUUAACUGAAUCCAUAGGUUAAUGAGGCGAACCGGGGGAACUGAAACAUCUAAGUACCCCGAGGAAAAGAAAUCAACCGAGAUUCCCCCAGUAGCGGCGAGCGAACGGGGAGCAGCCCAGAGCCUGAAUCAGUGUGUGUGUUAGUGGAAGCGUCUGGAAAGGCGCGCGAUACAGGGUGACAGCCCCGUACACAAAAAUGCACAUACUGUGAGCUCGAUGAGUAGGGCGGGACACGUGGUAUCCUGUCUGAAUAUGGGGGGACCAUCCUCCAAGGCUAAAUACUCCUGACUGACCGAUAGUGAACCAGUACCGUGAGGGAAAGGCGAAAAGAACCCCGGCGAGGGGAGUGAAAAAGAACCUGAAACCGUGUACGUACAAGCAGUGGGAGCCUCUUUAUGGGGUGACUGCGUACCUUUUGUAUAAUGGGUCAGCGACUUAUAUUCUGUAGCAAGGUUAACCGAAUAGGGGAGCCGAAGGGAAACCGAGUCUUAACUGGGCGUUAAGUUGCAGGGUAUAGACCCGAAACCCGGUGAUCUAGCCAUGGGCAGGUUGAAGGUUGGGUAACACUAACUGGAGGACCGAACCGACUAAUGUUGAAAAAUUAGCGGAUGACUUGUGGCUGGGGGUGAAAGGCCAAUCAAACCGGGAGAUAGCUGGUUCUCCCCGAAAGCUAUUUAGGUAGCGCCUCGUGAAUUCAUCUCCGGGGGUAGAGCACUGUUUCGGCAAGGGGGUCAUCCCGACUUACCAACCCGAUGCAAACUGCGAAUACCGGAGAAUGUUAUCACGGGAGACACACGGCGGGUGCUAACGUCCGUCGUGAAGAGGGAAACAACCCAGACCGCCAGUUAAGGUCCCAAAGUCAUGGUUAAGUGGGAAACGAUGUGGGAAGGCCCAGACAGCCAGGAUGUUGGCUUAGAAGCAGCCAUCAUUUAAAGAAAGCGUAAUAGCUCACUGGUCGAGUCGGCCUGCGCGGAAGAUGUAACGGGGCUAAACCAUGCACCGAAGCUGCGGCAGCGACACUAUGUGUUGUUGGGUAGGGGAGCGUUCUGUAAGCCUGUGAAGGUGGCCUGUGAGGGUUGCUGGAGGUAUCAGAAGUGCGAAUGCUGACAUAAGUAACGAUAAAGCGGGUGAAAAGCCCGCUCGCCGGAAGACCAAGGGUUCCUGUCCAACGUUAAUCGGGGCAGGGUGAGUCGACCCCUAAGGCGAGGCCGAAAGGCGUAGUCGAUGGGAAACAGGUUAAUAUUCCUGUACUUGGUGUUACUGCGAAGGGGGGACGGAGAAGGCUAUGUUGGCCGGGCGACGGUUGUCCCGGUUUAAGCGUGUAGGCUGGUUUUCCAGGCAAAUCCGGAAAAUCAAGGCUGAGGCGUGAUGACGAGGCACUACGGUGCUGAAGCAACAAAUGCCCUGCUUCCAGGAAAAGCCUCUAAGCAUCAGGUAACAUCAAAUCGUACCCCAAACCGACACAGGUGGUCAGGUAGAGAAUACCAAGGCGCUUGAGAGAACUCGGGUGAAGGAACUAGGCAAAAUGGUGCCGUAACUUCGGGAGAAGGCACGCUGAUAUGUAGGUGAAGCGACUUGCUCGUGGAGCUGAAAUCAGUCGAAGAUACCAGCUGGCUGCAACUGUUUAUUAAAAACACAGCACUGUGCAAACACGAAAGUGGACGUAUACGGUGUGACGCCUGCCCGGUGCCGGAAGGUUAAUUGAUGGGGUUAGCGGUAACGCGAAGCUCUUGAUCGAAGCCCCGGUAAACGGCGGCCGUAACUAUAACGGUCCUAAGGUAGCGAAAUUCCUUGUCGGGUAAGUUCCGACCUGCACGAAUGGCGUAAUGAUGGCCAGGCUGUCUCCACCCGAGACUCAGUGAAAUUGAACUCGCUGUGAAGAUGCAGUGUACCCGCGGCAAGACGGAAAGACCCCGUGAACCUUUACUAUAGCUUGACACUGAACAUUGAGCCUUGAUGUGUAGGAUAGGUGGGAGGCUUUGAAGUGUGGACGCCAGUCUGCAUGGAGCCGACCUUGAAAUACCACCCUUUAAUGUUUGAUGUUCUAACGUUGGCCCCUGAUCGGGGUUGCGGACAGUGUCUGGUGGGUAGUUUGACUGGGGCGGUCUCCUCCUAAAGAGUAACGGAGGAGCACGAAGGUUGGCUAAUCCUGGUCGGACAUCAGGAGGUUAGUGCAAUGGCAUAAGCCAGCUUGACUGCGAGCGUGACGGCGCGAGCAGGUGCGAAAGCAGGUCAUAGUGAUCCGGUGGUUCUGAAUGGAAGGGCCAUCGCUCAACGGAUAAAAGGUACUCCGGGGAUAACAGGCUGAUACCGCCCAAGAGUUCAUAUCGACGGCGGUGUUUGGCACCUCGAUGUCGGCUCAUCACAUCCUGGGGCUGAAGUAGGUCCCAAGGGUAUGGCUGUUCGCCAUUUAAAGUGGUACGCGAGCUGGGUUUAGAACGUCGUGAGACAGUUCGGUCCCUAUCUGCCGUGGGCGCUGGAGAACUGAGGGGGGCUGCUCCUAGUACGAGAGGACCGGAGUGGACGCAUCACUGGUGUUCGGGUUGUCAUGCCAAUGGCACUGCCCGGUAGCUAAAUGCGGAAGAGAUAAGUGCUGAAAGCAUCUAAGCACGAAACUUGCCCCGAGAUGAGUUCUCCCUGACUCCUUGAGAGUCCUGAAGGAACGUUGAAGACGACGACGUUGAUAGGCCGGGUGUGUAAGCGCAGCGAUGCGUUGAGCUAACCGGUACUAAUGAACCGUGAGGCUUAACCUUACAACGCCGAAG